rnacentral:pre_miRNA from 9 species
UUUCGAUCGCGUAAAAGUUAACUCAAAUUUGUAUGUAGUUGAAGCACCUUCCCUUCGUUUGCCGCUAGGGGCACUGUUCAACUCCAUACAAAUUUAAGUUAACUUUUACGCGAUCGA